rnacentral:rRNA from 1 species
UACGUAGGGUGCAAGCGUUGUCCGGAAUUAUUGGGCGUAAAGAGCUCGUAGGCGGUUUGUUGCGUCGGCUGUGAAAUCCCGAGGCUCAACCUCGGGUCUGCAGUCGAUACGAGCAAACUAGAGUGUUGCAGGGGAGACUGGAAUUCCUGGUGUAGCGGUGAAAUGCGCAGAUAUCAGGAGGAACACCGGUGGCGAAGGCGGGUCUCUGGGCAACAACUGACGCUGAGGCGCGACAGCGUGGGGAGCAAACAGG